UACGUAGGGGGCAAGCGUUGUCCGGAAUCAUUGGGCGUAAAGCGCGCGUAGGCGGCCCGGUAAGUCCGCUGUGAAAGUCAAAGGCUCAACCUUUGAAUGUCAGCGGAUACUGCCGGGCUAGAGUCCGGAAGAGGCGAGUGGAACUCCUGGUGUAGCGGUGGAAUGCGCAGAUAUCAGGAAGAACACCGGUGGCGAAGGCGGGAUCCUGGGCCAGUACUGACGCUGAGGAGCGAAAGCGUGGGGAGCAAACAGG
rnacentral:rRNA from 1 species